rnacentral:rRNA from 1 species
CAGCAGCCGCGGUAAAACGAAGGGGGCUAGCGUUGCUCGGAAUGACUGGGCGUAAAGCGCACGUAGGCUGCUUUGUAAGUUAGAGGUGAAAGCCUGGUGCUCAACACCAGAACUGCCUUUAAGACUGCAGAGCUAGAACGUCGGAGAGGUGAGUGGAAUUCCGAGUGUAGAGGUGAAAUUCGUAGAUAUUCGGAAGAACACCAGUGGCGAAGGCGGCUCACUGGACGACUGUUGACGCUGAGGUGCGAAAGCGUGGGGAGCAAACAGGAUUAGAUACCCCCGUAGUCCCUGUCUCUUAUAC